UACGUAGGGGCUAGCGUUGUCCGGAAUCAUUGGGCGUAAAGAGCGUGUAGGCGGCCCGGUAAGUCCGCUGUGAAAGUCGGGGCUCAACCCUCGAAUGCCGGUGGAUACUGUCGGGCUAGAGUGCGGAAGAGGCGAGUGGAAUUCCUGGUGUAGCGGUGAAAUGCGCAGAUAUCAGGAGGAACACCGAUUGCGAAGGCAGCUCGCUGGGACGUCACUGACGCUGAGACGCGAAAGCGUGGGGAGCAAACAGG
rnacentral:rRNA from 1 species